CAUGCCGCGUGUGUGAAGAAGGCCCUAGGGUUGUAAAGCACUUUAAGCAGGGAAGACAAGCGCCGGGUUAAUACCCCGAGCGUGUGGACGGUACCUGCAGAAUAAGCACCGGCUAAUUCCGUGCCAGCCCCCCUGGUGACUGAGCGGGCUGGCAAGGCGCAUA
rnacentral:rRNA from 1 species